GCAUUAGUGGUGUAGUGGUAACACUUAGACCUCCCACGUCUAGACUCCGGGUUCGAUUCCCGGCUGAUGCA